CGUGAGUGAUGAAGGCUUUCGGGUCGUAAAACUCUGUUGUUAGGGAAGAACAAGUGCUAGUUGAAUAAGCUGGCACCUUGACGGUACCUAACCAGAAAGCCACGGCUAACUACGUGCCAGCAGCCGCGGUAAUACGUAGGUGGCAAGCGUUAUCCGGAAUUAUUGGGCGUAAAGCGCGCGCAGGUGGUUUCUUAAGUCUGAUGUGAAAGCCCACGGCUCAACCGUGGAGGGUCAUUGGAAACUGGGAGACUUGAGUGCAGAAGAGGAAAGUGGAAUUCCAUGUGUAGCGGUGAAAUGCGUAGAGAUAUGGAGGAACACCAGUGGCGAAGGCGACUUUCUGGUCUGUAACUGACACUGAGGCGCGAAAGCGUGGGGAGCAAACAGGAUUAGAUACCCUGGUAGUCCACGCCGUAAACGAUGAGUGCUAAGUGUUAGAGGGUUUCCGCCCUUUAGUGCUGAAGUUAACGCAUUAAGCACUCCGCCUGGGGAGUACGGCCGCAAGGCUGAAAC
rnacentral:rRNA from 1 species